rnacentral:rRNA from 1 species
CAGAGGUCCCGAGCGUUGUUCGGAUUCACUGGGCGUAAAGGGCGCGUAGGUGGCUUGGCAAGUUUGGCGUGAAAUCUCCGGGCUUAACCCGGAAAAGGCGUUGAAUACUGUUUGAGCUGGAGGUUUGGAGGGGGGACUGGAAUUCUUGGUGUAGCAGUGAAAUGCGUAGAUAUCAAGAGGAACACCAGUGGCGAAGGCGAGUCCCUGGACAACACCUGACACUGAGGCGCGAAAGCUGGGGGAGCAAACAGGAUUAGAUACCCUGGUAGUCCCAGCUGAAAACGGUGCAUAUUUGCUGUAAAAGGAUUCGACCCCUUUUGUGGCGAAGCUAACGCGAUAAAUAUGCCGCCUGGGAAGUACGGUCGCAAGAUUA